rnacentral:rRNA from 1 species
ACACUCCUACGGGAGGCAUCAGUGGGGAAUUUUGGACAAUGGGCGAAAGCCUGAUCCAGCAAUGCCGCGUGAGUGAAGAAGGCCUUCGGGUUGUAAAGCUCUUUUGUCAGGGAAGAAACGGUGAAAGCUAAUAUCUUUUGCUAAUGACGGUACCUGAAGAAUAAGCACCGGCUAACUACGUGCCAGCAGCCGCGGUAAUACGUAGGGUGCAAGCGUUAAUCGGAAUUACUGGGCGUAAAGCGUGCGCAGGCGGUUUUGUAAGUCUGAUGUGAAAUCCCCGGGCUCAACCUGGGAAUUGCAUUGGAGACUGCAAGGCUAGAAUCUGGCAGAGGGGGGUAGAAUUCCACGUGUAGCAGUGAAAUGCGUAGAUAUGUGGAGGAACACCGAUGGCGAAGGCAGCCCCCUGGGUCAAGAUUGACGCUCAUGCACGAAAGCGUGGGGAGCAAACAGGAUUAGAAACCCGAGUAGUCCCAU